UCCAAAUGUCCCAGAAUCCUCCAGAACAUAAGUGCCCCGGGAGCAGGGACUUCUUGUAUCUUGUUCUCGGCUUAUCUCCAGUGCAGCAUCAGAUGCUCAGUGAAGAUUUGGUAAAUGAAUGAAUGAACGUGAAAUCAUGUGUGUUUUCCCCAACAUUUCCACCAGUGGGGAAGCUUUUCCUUCACUCUAUGCUCAUCCAGCCCAGGGGUUAUGAACCCAAUUUUCAAAGUAAAGAGCUCAGGUUUAGACAGGUUUAAUGACUCACUCAUUUCUUUACAGGGAUCAACUGGGACUUGAACUCAGAACACUGGGCUUCCAGCGUAUUCUGUGUUGUGUGCUAGGGGUGCUGCGCCAUGCUGUGGGUCAGAGUAUAGACUCGGGGCACAGGCAGACCUGGCUGAAGUCCUAACCUGCCUUUCCACAGGUGUGUCAUGAUGCCGGUAGCACCUCCCACCCCCGGAUAUGGCAACUGAAAAUGUCUUCAGAUGCGUCAAAAAUUUCCUCUCGGGGGCAGCAUGGCCCCUGCAUGGGAACCACUAGAGUGGAGCACCUAGCCCGGUGCCAGGCACAGGGGACUGUUACUUUAUUAUCAUUAUUAUUAUCAUCAGGAUGAUUGUCCAUGGGCGCAGGGGCCUCAUCUGUCUUGUUUACUGCAGCAUCCCUGGGGCCUGCCCUGGCCUGGCACAUAGUAGGUGCUCAGUGCUUGGGACUGCAGCCCCCAGGCUCCACUGCCAGCAGCCUGGGGUCUCCUCUGUGCAGCUGGAUGGCUUCUUCCUGAUGCCCCGUCUGCCAAAGAAACAGCAGUGGACUCUCAAGGAAGGAGCAGUUUCUUGGGAUUUUCAAUCUCUCUCUCUCUGUUCCUGUUCUCACUCUCCAGUACCGUGCCAGCUGGACUCUGGCAGAGCUGGUGGCAAAAUGACAGGGAUCCAAGGUUUCAGGCCUUUUGCUCCGACUUUUAUCCCCCGAUUUCAUGCAGCUGCAGCUCUUGCUGCCACUCAGCUGGAGAAAUGUCAAAACUAUAUUAAAUCAUAGGGCAUGAGUGAGCAGUAAGAUGACACUUGUCACCCACCUCUUGCUGUUUCCGAGGCUCUUGCGCCCUGACUUGGCCUGUCUUGUGCUCUGAGGGCUUUGCUCAUUUCCCCUGCCCUGCUCCGUAAUCACAUCUGUGGAAUUUGAAGUGACUUUCCUGGAAUGAGACCUGGAGGAGGUGGGGUACAUUUGUCCACAAGACAUAGGAAGUGGUGGCCAACAUGCCAGGCCCAGGAGCCCAAGCCAGGGUGGUGCAGGGGCGCAGGGUCCAGCAGAACCGACCUGUUAAAGGCAGCUGACAGCUGGAGUUACUUUUUCCCCUUUAAAUUGUUUUAAUAUAUUUUAACCGCUUGAUUGAAGUAUAACUGAUACAUGAUGAACUGUCCUAUUUAAAAUGUUCAAUUUGAUGUUUGACAUACAUAUACACCCAUGAAACUAUCCCCACGAUUAAGAUAGUGGACAAAUCCAUCACCCCAAACUUUCCCUGUGCCCCUUGGUAAUCCCCCCAAUCCACCCCUAUCAACUGCCCUCUGCUGAUCUGCUUGUUGUCUCUAUGGAUUAGAUUUCAUUUUCUAGAAUUUUAUAUCAAUGGAAUCAUGCAGUGUCCACUCUUUUGUUCGGACUGACUUCUUUCACACAGCAUAAUUAUAUUGAAAUUUAUUUAUGUUGUUGUGUAUAUCAUUCGUUCACUAUGUUUUUAAUUCCAGUGUAUGGAUGUGCAACAGUUUGUUUAUCCAUUCACUUGUUAAUGGGCGUUUGAGUUGUUGCCAGUUUUGGGGCUUUUAUGAAUAAAACUGCUAUGAACAUUUGUGUACAAGCCUUUGUAUAGAAAGUGCUUUCCUUUAUUUGGGACAAAUACCAGAGUGCAAUGACUGGAUCAUAUGGCAGAUACAUGUUUUUUAAGUUUUUAAGACACUAACAUAUGUGCCAUCUCCCAAAGCAGUAUAUAGCACUAGUGUAUAAGUUUUAGUUCCUCCAUAUCCUCACCAACACUCAGUCAUGGUAAUUUGACCUAAUGUCUAAUG
rnacentral:lncRNA from 1 species